rnacentral:rRNA from 1 species
GACGAACGCUGGCGGCGUGCUUAACACAUGCAAGUCGAACGGAAAGGCCCUGCUUUUGUGGGGUGCUCGAGUGGCGAACGGGUGAUUCACACGUAAGUAACCUGCCCUUGACUUUGGGUAAACUUCAGGAAACUUGGUCUCAUACCCGAUAUAAGCUCCUGCUGCAUGGUCGGUGUUGCAAAGUUUCGGUGGUUGGGGCUGUACUCGCGGCUUAUCAGCUUGUUGGUGGGGGAGUGGCUUACCAAGGGUUUGACCGGUAGCCGGCCUGAGAGGGUGACCGCGGACAUGGGGACUGAGAGACGGCCCAGAGUCCUACGGUAGGCAGCAGUGGGGAACAUGGCACAACGGGGGGAAGCCUGAUGCAGAAACGUCGCGGGCGGGAUGACGGUCUUUGGGUUGUAAACCGCUUUCGCUUGUGACGAAGGGUGAGUGACGGUAAUGUGUAAAGAAGCACCGGCUAACUACGUG